rnacentral:rRNA from 1 species
GGCGCACGGGUGAGUAACACGUAUCCAACCUGCCGUCUACUCUUGGCCAGCCUUCUGAAAGGAAGAUUAAUCCAGGAUGGCAUCAUGAGUUCACAUGUCCGCAUGAUUAAAGGUAUUUUCCGGUAGACGAUGGGGAUGCGUUCCAUUAGAUAGUAGGCGGGGUAACGGCCCACCUAGUCAACGAUGGAUAGGGGUUCUGAGAGGAAGGUCCCCCACAUUGGAACUGAGACACGGUCCAAACUCCUACGGGAGGCAGCAGUGAGGAAUAUUGGUCAAUGGGCGAUGGCCUGAACCAGCCAAGUAGCGUGAAGGAUGACUGCCCUAUGGGUUGUAAACUUCUUUUAUAAAGGAAUAAAGUCGGGUAUGCAUACCCGUUUGCAUGUACUUUAUGAAUAAGGAUCGGCUAACUCCGUGCCAGCAGCCGCGGUAAUACGGAGGAUCCGAGCGUUAUCCGGAUUUAUUGGGUUUAAAGGGAGCGUAGAUGGAUGUUUAAGUCAGUUGUGAAAGUUUGCGGCUCAACCGUAAAAUUGCAGUUGAUACUGGAUGUCUUGAGUGCAGUUGAGGCAGGCGGAAUUCGUGGUGUAGCGGUGAAAUGCUUAGAUAUCACGAAGAACUCCGAUUGCGAAGGCAGCCUGCUAAGCUGCAACUGACAUUGAGGCUCGAAAGUGUGGGUAUC